UCUACUGGAAAGUGUUCCUUCCCACUGCUGGAGGGUUGGAAUUACAUGAUCUUUAAGGUCUCUUCCAACCCAAACCAUUCCAUGAUUCUAUGACUCAAAACUCCCUUCACUCCUAAGCUGACUCUUUACGGGUUUUCACGUAAAAACACUGCUUUGGUUCUUACGUGAAGGGUGCGAAUGGGAGAUUGCUGCAGUGACUGUUCUUGUCAAGUUUAGUUUCUGACUGCACCUAAGUCCACUUAAAACCAGUUGCUGUGUUUGUAUCCCAGUCACCGAGGGUUUGCUUUUUGCUUUAAUGACACACAGUUGUCCUCUGCACACAGGCAGCACGUUGCAGUAGUGCUGGGAAGCUUCCAAAACUGCAGCUAGUAAUUGAAGUCACACCCUGUCAUGAAAAUAUGCACCCUCCAGGCCUUCUUAAAAAUUCAGGCUACAAAAAUGACAUGUAGUGUGAUUGCCUCUCUAGUUAUAAUUUUUUUUAAAUAUUUUUUAUUAUUUUCUUGUUGGCUUUGAAAAAGCUCUCUUGAAAAAGAGGCAGUAGGGUUUUGGGUUUGGGGUUUUCUUUUCUGUUUGAGGAGUAAUAUGAAAAGGUAUUAAUAGGUAUUUAUACAUAUCUAGUUUCUGGCAUGAUGCUGGUGUUUUAGUAUCCUGGCUUUUAGGACAUCCUCGAAAGAUGCUCUGAUCCUGACAACAUUCAUAUGGUGCAGAUUAAUAAUUCCAUUUAUUUAGCUGUGAAAACACAUGGUGGUGCUCAAUCCUAACGUUAAUAAGUGCAAAGUGGUGAUUUGAUUAUGACCAUAUAAUUACAAUUCAAAGCCCGAACAGCAUAAUCUUUUCUUUGUACUGAGGAAUAUGUUUCGUGGUGGGUUUGCACUGUGGUAAAUUAGUAGAGGCAAGAGGCAGGAAGAGCAGCGUGGAAAUUCUAAAGCACAUGCACGUUCCCUUUCACCUUGAUGUGCACUGCUACGUCCUGGGAUGCUCUAGGGUGAAAUAAAAGAAGUGACUGCAUGUCAGAUUGAUGCCUCCUGGCUCCCUUCCCGUGCCUCGGGUUCACAUCACGCAUCUCUGAGCGUUUUGAGCAAUGCACUUCUGUGCAUAACUACUGAAGCCCAGGAGCUCUCAUCCUAAAUUGCUGUUCGUGCUGCAUGUAAGAGAGAAAAAAUUCCCACAGGUAACUCAGGGGGAAGCUAGGUAAGAAUCCUUGAAAAUUUAAAGCGGAAAACUGUGUGGAAAGCUCCAAAGGUUGCUUUGGGAAUUAAGAGAUUAGAUCACGUCUCUGUGAUCUAAGGAGUUAGGAAGCAAAAGGUGAUGACAUUGCAGGCCUCAGAGAUGCCAAAUAUUUCUUUAUUCAGUGACUUUAAUGGGGAGAGUCAGUGCAGAUGUUAAUGUGCUGCAGACUAAGGAGGGACCAACAGACAGAUUUCAAGGUCUUAAAAGUUUGGGGUUUUUUUCCAAAUUGCUUUUUGGUUCAGAAAACUCACUUGAAUAUGCACCAGCCUCUCUACCCCACUUAUAAAUUAAACCCACAUUAGGAAAAAAUCUAGAACAGAGCCCAUAUUCUGCACUAAGAACAGAAGAAUCCUUAAAAUACCUUGGUAGCAGUGUAUUUUACUCUUAACAUGUUUUAUGCUCUUUGGUUUCCUCUCACACCUCUUUUUACAGUUUCCUACAAUACUUUGUUGCUUUUUUCUGUCUCCUCUGUUACAUAGUUUGUUUUAAGCAGGUGCUAGAAGCAGUGAUGUCUGAGAAUGUCAUACUCUGGAAGUCUAAUCCCAUCCCAGUGUUUCCAGCCCGACUCAGCCGUGUGUGCAAGUCUCCUGCCCUGCUUAUCACCACUUGACUGCAGCAGAGCAGCCAGUGGGGUGUGCUGGACACUGCCAUCACUGUGCCCCAGAAAUGCAGCAUUUGAAUGCUCCCUGUGAUUCUGAGUCACUGUGACUCCAGGCACAACACUGAGUGCUGCAUUCCCAGUGUUCAAUAAUGCUCUAGGAGCUGGCAGCUCAGCUAGAGACAUGGAAAUGUCUCAGGUUUGAAAUGAAACACUUUUUCAGGUUAUCACUGAUACAGUAAGUCUCUGUCUCCGGUUCUUUAUCAAUAAAGGGGAGGUUAGAAUAAUAUUUAUGUAGUUUCCUUACAGGAGUUUUUUCAGGAUUAUUUAGUUAAUAUUGGCACUGUGAGAUGCUAAAAAUACUAGAGGCUUGUACCCGUGUACCAUAUGAUUUGCCUCUUUCUGAAUGCAACUGUUAUUCUUCUGCCACUAUUCAGCCCAAUGAUUUUUAUUUUAUUUACUUCGAUUCUUUGUAUUCCAGAUUAUGCCCCACUGGCAAGGGAUCUUGGGAAAGAACUGUGAUGCUUUUGUUCGCUGAACAAAACCUGAUUCAUCCCUUUCCUUACAUCACCACCCAGCUCUCCAGCUUUUCAACACAGGGAUUGCUAUGGCUUUCCUUUAGGUACACUGAAAAUCACAGCAGCUGUUUAUUUGGAGUCAGCACUCUCCAGCGUUAUGAAAGUGGUAAAAAUACAUGUAAUCAUAGGAGAGAUUUAAUUAUCAGAGAUACUGCAGAAGUGGUUUCUUGAAGAGAGUGAAAACAAAUAGGAAAUUGAGAAACUGUGACUGGCUGAAUUCUAGAAAGAGCUCUGAAAAGCAGUGAGAGGAAAAAGAAGGGUUGAUGAGAAGCUAAGUGAUGGGCAGAAAUUUAGGAAAUAGGGUCACAGAUAAUGAAAAGCAGGGGAAUUUUUGAGAUGGAGGAACAGAGUGAGAGUAGGUAAAUCAGAGAGAGAGGCGCUGGCUCUGUUGCUAUUGUGGCACCCAGUAAUGCUCCCAAUUUCUUUGGCUGGGUAUGUGUUUCUGCCUGAUUCAAAGUUUAAUUAAAAUUUAUUCAUUCUUUUGUUUAGUGAAUGGGAUAAAAUUGCAAGAAGAGAACAGAAAGGCUUUGGGGGCUGACUGCCAUCAGUAUUACACACGAGGCACCAAUCUUAAUUUUUGCAUUAUUUAACUUAUGUUUGACUUUAUGCAAUAUAACCUACUUUUUAAGACAUUCCUUUGCUUUUACAAACGUAUGUAUGAGUAUUUUUUGAAACAAUGGGUUGUAAAAAGCUUCAAAUAAAACUGUCCAUGUUAUUGUCCACCUUA